rnacentral:rRNA from 1 species
GGUUGUCAUGCCAAUGGCACUGCCCGGUAGCUAAAUGCGGAAGAGAUAAGUGCUGAAAGCAUCUAAGCACGAAACUUGCCCCGAGAUGAGUUCUCCCUGACUCCUUGAGAGUCCUGAAGGAACGUUGAAGACGACGACGUUGAUAGGCCGGGUGUGUAAGCGCAGCGAUGCGUUGAGCUAACCGGUACUAAUGAACCGUGAGGCUUAACCUUACAACGCCGAAGCUGUU